ACAAUCAUGAACAUCUUUUCAACUGUAAAAGAAAAACAACUGUCCUGACCUUUCCUUUAUGAGCAAGAGAAAUUGAACUGAUUUGGGGGAUACCCCAUCUAAGUGGACAUGGGAGACCACGGUUUUUAGUACAACA